AACGAACGCUGGCGGCAUGCCUAACACAUGCAAGUCGAACGAGACCUUCGGGUCUAGUGGCGCACGGGUGCGUAACGCGUGGGAACCUGCCCUUAGGUUCGGAAUAACUCCCCGAAAGGGGUGCUAAUACCGGAUAAUGUCUUCGGACCAAAGAUUUAUCGCCUUUGGAUGGGCCCGCGUUGGAUUAGCUAGUUGGUAGGGUAAAAGCCUACCAAGGCGACGAUCCAUAGCUGGUCUGAGAGGAUGAUCAGCCACACUGGGACUGAGACACGGCCCAGACGAGGGGGGGAGGGAGGGGGGGGGAAGAGGAGCAAACGGGACAGGGCCUGGGCCGGCAAGGGCGUGGGGGGGUGGAUGGACAGAGGUGUUUACCGCGUUUUGACCGUGGAUAAGAAUGCCGGUGCAGAGAGAAUAAUCCCCGGCACACGCCGGAACAUCAGCGGGCGAAAUAACAAGACGCCCACUAGUCUCCAC
rnacentral:rRNA from 1 species